rnacentral:snRNA from 1 species
AGAAUGGCGUGAUCCCGGGAGGCGGAGCUUGCAGUGAGCUGAGAUUGUGCCACUGCACUCCAGCCUGGGCAACAGAA